AGAAUCAACGCUGGCGGCGUGCCUAACACAUGCAAGUCGAACGCGGUUACCCCGCAAGGGGUGACUGAGUGGCAAACGGGUGAGUAACGCGUGGGUGACCUACCUUCGAGUGGGGGAUAACGUUUCGAAAGGAACGCUAAUACCGCAUGACAUCCUGCCUUUGGACAGGCGGAGAUCAAAGCCGGGGAUCGUAAGACCUGGCGCUUGGAGAGGGGCCCGCGUCCGAUUAGCUAGUUGGUGAGGUAACGGCUCACCAAGGCGACGAUC
rnacentral:rRNA from 1 species